ensembl:misc_RNA Metazoa_SRP Metazoan signal recognition particle RNA
GUCAGGCGUGGUGGCACAUGCCUGUAGUUCCAGCUACUCAGGAGGCUGAGGUGGGAGGAUCGCUUGAGCCCAGGAGUUCUGGGCUGUAAUGCGCUAUGCUGCUCGGGUGUCCACAUCAAGGUCGGCAUCAAUAUGGUGACCUCCCGGGAGUGGGGGACCACCAGGUUGCCUGAGGAGGGGUGGACCGGCCCAGGUUGGAAAUGGAACAGGUCAAAACUCCCGUGCUGAUCAGUAGUGGGAGUGUGCUGGAGUGUGCACUCCAGCCUGGGCAACAUAGCAAGACCCCAUCUCUU